rnacentral:tRNA from 1 species
UCCCUUGUGUCGCAAUGGUAGCGAGCCUGACUUGUAAUCAGGAGGUUCUUGGUUCGAGUCCAGGCGGGGGAG